rnacentral:rRNA from 1 species
AGGUCAAGUGAAGAAGGGCGCACGGUGAAUGCCUUGGCACUGGAAGCCGAUGAAGGACGCGACUAACCGCGAAAGUCUUCGGGGAGCCGUAAGUAGGCUUUGAUCCGGAGGUCUCCGAAUGGGGGAACCCAGCAUGUGCAGACAUGCUAUCCUUAAGUGAAUACAUAGCUUAAGGAGGGAACACGCAGUGAACUGAAACAUCUAAGUAGCUGCAGGAAGAGAAAGAAAUAUCGAUUUCCCAAGUAGCGGCGAGCGAACAGGAAAGAGCCCAAACCGGCAGAUUUAUCUGCCGGGGUUGUAGGACUGAGACAUGGCACUUCAGAGGAUAGCAGAAGCGUUUGGGAAAGCGCGCCAGAGAGGGUGAGAGCCCCGUAAGCGCAAGGCUAAAUACUAACCAGUGACCGAUAGUGAACCAGUACCGUGAGGGAAAGGUGAAAAGAACCCCGGGAGGGGAGUGAAAGAGAACCUGAAACCGUGUGCCUACAAGUAGUCAGAGCCCGUUAACGGGUAAUGGCGUGCCUUUUGUAGAAUGAACCGGCGAGUUGCGUUAGUCAGCAAGGUUAAGUCAGAAAAGACGGAGCCGUAGCGAAAGCGAGUCUGAAGAGGGCGAGUAGUUGG